AGUUUCAAGGUGUUACUAACAGCGAAGUUAUGGUUCGGAAAUGUAUCAUAGAGGUAAUAAAUGAAACAAAGCCCGACCAGGCAGGAGGAUACUUUUAUUGUGUUGGUUAGUAUGUUAUUUAACGAGCGGUAAAGUAGGUCAUAACUUGUCUGCAACUCGUGCUGUAAUUCACCAAUUAAGGAAACUAAUUACCGAACUGCGACCUUGCCAGCCAUGGAUGAAUAAUUUUAAAUUGAGGCUGUACCACUAUGAUGAACGAAAAAAUAAGCAUGACAAGCUGACGUAUUCGGGAGGAGCACCACUUUUGUAUUGUAUUCGUAUCUAAAUUUCACAGGAAAUGGAAUUUUAAUCGUAUUCAACUUCCUUUGAAAACACAGUUCAUUGAAAACAAGCCGAAGACAUAACAAUAGAAAAUGUUUAAAAUCCAUACAAUUGAAGGAAGUUCAAAUACACAGUGCACUGGGAUCAAGGAUAAUGCGAAACUAUCAAAUUUCACAAUUGACAGUUUAUAAUUUAGAAGAAUUUCUAACUAAUACUCAUAUACAUGAUAAAACAGUGUAUAUUAAUUUGUGACAGGGUUGAAAACUAACCAAAUCAUUGAAUUUUUUUUCCAACACUUUCACAUAAAUUGCACCUUUUUUCAUUUAAACAAAAAUACAGAUUUAUUCUUAAUUUUGUCGGAUGCACUGUUACUUUCCUUGUAACAUGACUGUUACUUUCAAUCUUCAGCAAUAAAAAAUAUUCGAAUUUCUUCUUACAUACUUACACAUCACUUUAAAAUUUGGGAAUAAAUUCCAUGACCAAUAAUAGGAGAACAAAACAGAUCUUAUGAAGAGAACCUUCUUGAUCAUCAGUAUUUUAGUCGAAAUCGUAAAUUACUUGUUUAUCCACUUAUAGUUAAAAAGUUAAAAUAUAAUCGGGCGUAUUCAAAUAUGCUUGUAAUAUGUACCAAGAUUAUAGUAAAAAUAUUGAAAUAGUAUAUUAUUUGUGAUAACGUAGAUGUAUAUUCAUACUGCAAGUCGAAUAUUAUCUACCACCAUAACCAUUGAUAUUAAGAUACAAUUACGGGGAUAAAAUUGUCUAUAAAAUUUGAAUAAGUAGUAAACCGAGUUUGAAUGACACAAGUUUGGUAAUUUUAAGAAUGUAAUAAUAUCUCUCCAAAUUUCUUAUUAGGAGCUUUAUUUAUGAAAUGAUUGAGUUAAUCUGGUGUAAAAGUUUUGCAUUGUUGCAUUGUUUUAUAUUUAGUGUUGAGUUUCUUCAAUUUUACCAAAAAUAUAAUUUUUGUAAAUGAUUCCUUACAGUUCUUGCUGUUAUACCAGUUUUUGUAUAUACCGUUAUAUCUAUUUUUGGAUUAUUCUAGCAAGAAAUUUUGUAUAGUAACAUAAGCUACUGGCCUUAUUUCUGAAGGUGUACAUGGUAAUUCAAUUUUUCCAGAAAAAAAUUCCUUGUUAAUUCAAUUUCAAAAAAUUUCCAAAUUAUUCAAGUGGCAUUACUUCUCUCGAUAACAAGAAUGGAGUGUUCCUUUUUGUAUUGUACAAACUGACGGAGUAAAUAAUUCCAAGAAUCUUUGUCGAUUUAUUAUAGUCAGUAAUACAUCAUACUAACUCAACCUAUUUAUUUACGGAUACUACUAGUUGCUCAAAUGGAGAGAAAUAAUUUCGUAGCUACCAUAUAAACUAAUGGAAUAAAAUAAAUAUUCAUAUAAUAAACAAAACAUCAAAUACUAGGCCAAACAAGAUAUAUAGUCUCCUUAUUUCACCAUACAAAUGUAUCAAACCAAAUCAUCGAUGCAUAAAUCGCCAUUGUACGUAUGAAUAUGUGAAUACAUGAUCACAUACGCAGCACUUGUUUGGUGUUCGAAAACUGGACAACAACUGCUCAACAAACAAAUAUUCAAAGGCUAAUCUGUCUAGGUAUUACUAGAGCCUAUUUUUAAGCCUCUAUUUUAAAAGUCACAAUUAAAUAGACAUUUUACUGCUAAUUGUCAAUAGAAAUGUUCUCGAAAGAAGCAAAAUAAAUGCAAAACAUAAGUGGGACAAUUUAAGAAUUGCUAUAGGACGAAUAACUUUUUGUUUUCUCGGCGCGCCGACAUUAUUGAUAAUAAUCAAAAUCAUCAAGUGCAACUUUGCAAUUGUCAAAUCCCUUUAUAAUAUAGUAAAAAUGUGAACAAUUUGAAAAAAUUAGGUUCGGAUCCUCCUACCGCGUUACCUGUCUGCCGGUAACGUUUAAACCGUCGGUGUAGGUAAUCGCCGUCUAUAAAAGGCGAAAAAAAUGGUAUCUGAGGUUUAAUGUGACGGAUGAGGCCGAUUCAUAAACUUGAAUUUCCGUUUUCGAUUGCCGUUCGCGGGUGACGUUUGUAGCAAAGUCUACACCAUAUUCAUAAAAUUAAGGGUUCUUGCCGCUAACCUAAAAAUUUUGUUAUUCUUUUUGACGUGUGUACUGCUUUUUGUUUUCAUGAUAUUUUUGUGUUGUUGUUGUUUGUUUGUAAUCCAGUAUUUAUGGAUAUCAAGGAAAAUAACGAAGAGGUUUUUUUAUUGGGACAAAGGUGACAAACACGAAGGGAUGUUAUUGGUUCUUUUCUAUUGUUACGAACGACGGGAAAAUAUAUAAUUAUGUUGAGAAUCACCAACGGCAAACCGAUUGGCAAACGGCAACUAUGAUUGUUCUUAUACAUUUCAAUAUUUUCAAUUUUGUAACGUCAACGGCAACGACAAACGUAAACGGUCAUUAAACUUCCCCUAUAAAAUUGAGCCUUAAUACAUAAAUCAGGGACAGUCAGUGUUGCCAACACUAAAAAUAUAAAAAGAAACUAUCUCACUUAACAUUUUUAAUUUUAGUCAACUCAUUAGAACAAUUGUAUUCAUACUGCAACUGAAAAUUUUAACCGUGACAAGCUGCUGAAGUAUAAUAAUUAUAUGAUUAUUCAAAUAGCUAUAAAACAGGAAGUUUAUUCUGUAUCAGCGAUUUCUGCAUCAGUUGCCUUCUAGUUAAUUAUAUUUUAGAUAUGCAACAUCAUCUAUGUGGUGGUGAUACCUGUUACUGUGUAGGAGUUUUGAAACCAGUUUCGUUACAAUAUAUUUAUCCCGUUCAUAUCACAUCUUCAUAUCAAGGCUUUCUUAGUUUUUAUAAGAAAACCUGCUUAUAGAUGAAAAGGAAUCGAAUUGUUCAAAUGACGCUGACAAAAUCUUGAUAUUUCGCAUAAUACUUUGUAAUGUUAAAAAUUCGUUGAAAAAUAAAAUAUAUUACUGCUAUACAA